GCCGCCUCAGUCGAUUAGAGCGCGGGUUUUAUAAGCUCGAGGUCGUAGGUUCGACCCCUGCUGGCGGCA